AUGGAUUAAUGGGGCUAUGCUUUCUUAAAUUAAAUUUUAAAAAUAAUUUUUUUAGUGAAGAAACUAAAAUGUUAUUGAGGGACGAGAAGACCCUAUUAAGCUUAAUAUAAUUAUUUUAUUGGGGAAAUAAAAGAAAAAAAUUUCUUUUGUAAAAGUUUUUGAUAAAUUUAGAUUAAUUAUUAAUUAUGAUAGAAUAAGUUACUAUAGGGAUAACAGCAUAAUUUUUUUAAAAAGUUCAUAUUGAUAAAUAAGAUUAUGACCUCGAUGUUGGAUUAUAAUUAUUAUAUGAUGUAGUUGUUGUAUAA
rnacentral:rRNA from 1 species